ensembl:lncRNA LINC00658 long intergenic non-protein coding RNA 658
AGAUCUCUCUCUCUGCGGAAGCCAGCCACCGCUCUCCAAGGACUCUCGAGCAGCUCCAUCUACAGAUUCACAUGGAGAAGAAUUAAGGGUUCCUGCCAAUCACCAGCACCACUUUGCCAGCCUUGUAAGUGGGCCACCUUGGAAUUGGAGCCUCCAGUUCCUACUGACAUCUGACUGCAACAUCAUGAGAGACCCUGAGUUUGAACCACCCAGCUGAGCUGCUUCUGAGCUAACCCACUGAAACCGUGAAAGUACCUGAAUGAAACAACACCCAGUAGCCACUAGCACACCUAGCUCCCAGAUCUGUUUUUGAUGCCAUUCUUCAGUAAAAGGAAGCAAGGCUGCUUGGAGAAAUUGCUAUCAAGGACUGGGGUAGAAAAUAUACAAGAUGAAAUUGGAGCAUCUUGUAGUGCUUGAAAUUGGCAUCUGUGUGAAGAUGUGAAUGGAGGAGGCAGAGUAGGCAGUGAGUGCCGCAGCCACAGCUUGUGUUCUCUGCAGCCCUGGCACAGAAGAUAGGAACACUCAUGGGGGAUGCGGCCACUGUGAUGUCUUCCCACACAAGAAGUGCCAAGUGCUUUUCUCAUGCUUUUCUGGAUUGUCCCAUGGUGGACGAGUCAGCAGGAGUGAGAUGGAGCAGCACAGUAGAGGGGUACCUGGCAAGGCCCGGAGGGAGGACCCCCUGCCCCAAACAUUUCAAUGAUAUCAGGUGACAGCCGUGAUCCUCUUAGCACCUGCUCUGUUUUGUCCCAGGCCAGGAUAUCGUUGUACAUAUUCUCAGCUAAGUGAGCACCAAUAGAGGAGAGGGAGAGUCUCAUGGAAGUUCCUUCUAAGCCUUUGGCUCUUUUUACCUUCAACAAGGUGUGCCACCUCUUUGAUCCAGCAAGUGGGAAGAACAGUCCCGGCCUCUUUGCACACAAGACCGUGAUACCAAUGCACCAUCACAGGCCCCACAGGGGAGCUGUCCGCUUCCCCACACAGCUGCUAGGGGCUCUUUUGCAUGUUCCCAACCUUUCCUGCCUUUAUCUGAUAUUCGUUCCUUAGAUCCUGGGAUGAGGAGGUGGACCAGCAGAAGGUGGGCUUGUGAAGGCAGCCCGGGGUCCAAAUCCUCCUGGCUCUUCAGCUUAGCGGGUUAGUUAACAUUCAGAAGCCUUCAUCUCCCAUCUGCAAAAUGGGCAUGUCCAACUCAGAAGCUGCCUUGAAGAAAGGGUCUACCCAGCAUGGUGCGUGGAGCCUAAGCAGUCAGUACUUCAGGACUUCACCCGGCCCCUUUCCAAUAACUGCUGCUGUCGCCCUCACAGGAUGUCACCUUCAGCGUCUGAAAGCUGGGUUUGAUGCGUCUGGAAAGGCGUCCCUGACAGGCGUCGUUGCCAGGAGCCCCUAGUGCCACCAGCAGCCAGCAGGGGAGGGCGUCCUCUGCCCGCUCACUUCUGACCCUUCUCUCGUUGCACCCGGAACAUGGUGCAGCUGGGAGCAGCCUGGGCUGCGCGGAAGGCUCAGAUUUGGGGACGGCCCUUGCCAGUGACUGUGAGCUGGGGUGUCUUGGAAACUCCCAGUCUCAGCUUCUCCAUUUAUAAGAUGAGAAUGAUCAUACCAGACUCAGGCAAGGUUGUUUGUGCAUUAGUGAAAUCAGACGUAUUAAAUAAAGUACCACAUUGAUCGUG